AUACGUAGGUGGCAAGCGUUAUCCGGAUUUACUGGGUGUAAAGGGCGCGUAGGCGGGGAUGCAAGUCAGAUGUGAAAUCUAUGGGCUUAACUCAUAAACUGCAUUUGAAACUGUGUCUCUUGAGUGCUGGAGAGGUAGACGGAAUUCCUUGUGUAGCGGUGAAAUGCGUAGAUAUAAGGAAGAACACCAGUGGCGAAGGCGGUCUACUGGACAGUAACUGACGCUGAGGCGCGAAAGCGUGGGGAGCAAACAGGAUUAGAUACCCUGGUAGUCCACGCUGUAAACGAUGAAUACUAGGUGUGGGGGGACUGACCCCCUCCGUGCCGCAGUUAACACAAUAAGUAUUCCACCUGGGGAGUACGGCCGCAAGGUUGAAACUUAAAGGAAUUGACGGGG
rnacentral:rRNA from 1 species